rnacentral:rRNA from 1 species
UAGGGAAUCUUCCGCAAUGGACGCAAGUCUGACGGAGCAACGCCGCGUGAUUGAAGAAGGAUUGCGGUUCGUAAAACUCUGUUGUUAGAGAAGAACAGCGCAUAGAGUAACUGUUAUGCGUGUGACGGUAUCUAACCAGAAAGCCACGGCUAACUACGUGCCAGCAGCCGCGGUAAUACGUAGGUGGCAAGCGUUGUCCGGAUUUAUUGGGCGUAAAGCGAGCGCAGGCGGUUAGAUAAGUCUGAAGUUAAAGGCAGUGGCUCAACCAUUGUAGGCUUUGGAAACUGUUUAACUUGAGUGCAGAAGGGGAGAGUGGAAUUCCAUGUGUAGCGGUGAAAUGCGUAGAUAUAUGGAGGAACACCGGUGGCGAAAGCGGCUAUCUGGUCUGUAACUGACGCUGAGGCUCGAAAGCGUGGGGAGCGAACAGG